UACAUCUGAGAUGGUAAAAAUCUUCCAUGUAAACAAACUGUUGUUCAAAUAUUCUGUUUGUUUUCCCAUUUUUUCCACAGACUGAGAACAAAGAUGUAACAUCUGGAGAUGAUGCAGACAGCCUGCAGCAAAAAUCAAACUCUUUACCUUCCAAAUCCUUUAGAAAAACUCUCACUUUCACUUUCAACAAAGAAGAGGUGAUUUUCUCCUCUCAAAGAACAAAGAAUACUGACGGUGGUUAGCAAUACUUUUAAAAUUGAUACAGUUUUAUUUGUUACAGCAGUGUGAUGGGAGCCUUUGUGUCCAUCCAGCUGGAAAAAGCAGGUCUGCGUGAUGAGAUGCUGAAUUUAUUUGUGGAGAGUAAACAGGCCAUGGGAGGUUUAACAAAAACCACGGAGGAAGCAUCAAAGAUCAAAAGAAGACUCAUAAUCGACUUUUUAAGAAAAUUCACAACACAGAUAUCUCAGCACUGUGUGAGAGCCCAGAUUGUUGCAUUUUACUCCAGUUUAACUUUCCUUCUGGGGGACUUACCCUCCAUUCGUCAAUCCCAUUUCACAGCUGGACGAGUCCAAGAGCCAGAGGUCACUUUGGGUUUAAAACCAGACCUCUAUCCUGACUCCAGGUAUGAACAGAUUUAAUAAUUACUGGCAGAACGGUAUGAUUAUCACAUGGAAAAAAAGCCAAACUUAACACUUCAAACUACACAUAAACAGAUAUUUUGGGGAACACUUACUUGGUAAUUUUGAAAUUAGAUGCGUGCAGCACAUUAACAAUUUUGGCAAAUUCUCCAAAUUCUUGUCUUUUCUCAAUCUAAAGCUAAAAAAUAUUUUAACUUUACCAUCUCAGUUGUGUAAUAUGAUUUAAAUAUGUGGAGAAUCUGACAAAAUCUC